rnacentral:rRNA from 1 species
ACUCCUGCGGGAGGCAGCAGUGGGGAAUUUUGGACAAUGGGCGAAAGCCUGAUCCAGCAAUGCCGCGUGUGUGAAGAAGGCCUUCGGGUUGUAAAGCACUUUUGUCCGGAAAGAAAUCCUUGGCUCUAAUACAGUCGGGGGAUGACGGUACCGGAAGAAUAAGCACCGGCUAACUACGUGCCAGCAGCCGCGGUAAUACGUAGGGUGCGAGCGUUAAUCGGAAUUACUGGGCGUAAAGCGUGCGCAGGCGGUUUGCUAAGACCGAUGUGAAAUCCCCGGGCUCAACCUGGGAGCUGCAUUGGUGACUGGCAGGCUAGAGUAUGGCAGAGGGGGGUAGAAUUCCACGUGUAGCAGUGAAAUGCGUAGAGAUGUGGAGGAAUACCGAUGGCGAAGGCAGCCCCCUGGGCCAAUACUGACGCUCAUGCACGAAAGCGUGGGGAGCAAACAGGAUUAGAAACCCUAGUAGUCCCAUGAU